UUUUUUGUAGAAGCUAGGCGUGUGGCUCACACCUGUAAUCCCAAUGCUUUGGGAGGCCAAGGCAAGAGGAUUAUUUGAGGCCAGGAUCCUAUACUGAGGGGGCACCACUUCUGAGUGUCUACAGUAGAGAUCCCGACACAGGGUGGAUCGGUCGACUGUUCAGUGGGAUGUGUUGACUGGAUCAGUUGAUUCUGGGCUUGAUCUAGAGUGUGCAUCAAAUGCAACUGACUCACAUCUUAGAGGAGCUCUCCGGGGUGCGGAGGUGAACAGUGUCAAAUCGUGGCAAGAAGUCGGUGGCAAGUGUGGGAAUUAGGUCACUGAAGAGUGAUGAUGGCAGAAGCUAGACUAAGAACCAUGGAGAGUCAACACAGAGCAAACUGAAUGUCGACUAAGGGAGAGGGUGGCUGAGAGGGGACACAAGGAAACGCAGGCUUUUUAGGAUGGGAGACGCCUGAACAUGUUCCUAAGGGAAGGGAAGAGUGAGACACGGGAGCAGACAGGGUAAUUAAUGGAGCAAGGUCCCCAGGGUGGAAGAGGUUGGCCUCAAGGGCACAGGUGGGGUGCCAGCAUACACAGAGGGGGCACCUCAUCCAGCAUCUCCAGUAGAGGUCCCCAGAGGAUGGAGGAACAGCCCCUGUACUACACUUCCUUCCCACUCUCCCACACCAACCACCCAGCCCCUCUGGGAGGCAUCAGAUCAGAACAGUGGGUCUGCCCAGCAGCAGCCCUGGGGACUAUUGGACACGCACAUUCUCACGCCUCAUCCCAGACCUGCUGAAUCAGAAUGCCGGGGAAGGAGCCCGGAAACCGGUGUGUUAAGAAGCCCCUGGCAAUUCUGGUGCUCACUGGAGUUUGAGACCAGGGACCAGGACCGCAACUCUCAACUCUGCUGCUCACUAUGAUCCCCCUGAGGAGGUUUUAAAUGCUGAUGCCCAAGCCUCACCCAUAGAUUCUGAUUCUACUUCUGUCAGUAUCGAAUGCCUCUCCCCAGGUGCUCCUGCUGCCCCAUGAACACUGAGAACCCUCAGGUAAGAAGGAGAAGGGAACAGAGGGAGAGGAGUGGGCUUUAGCUUUGGUUUUCCCAUGUUGUUUAAUUCUGGGGUGGGAUAAGAAUUAUUGAGGUAGCUUCGGAAGUCACUUACCAAGAGUAGUGGGCACAUACACAAUGAGACAGCAAAACAGUUUGCAGGGAUCACUGAAAAGAAUGGGAGAGAGAGGAAGGAGUUGCCUGAAGACCAAGGGCAGAAAUCCCAAAAGGCAGGCAGAGCCUAACGAAGAAGGGCAGCCAGACAGCCCUGAAAGCCAAAUCCAUGGCACCCGGAUGAUCUUCUCCAAGUGUCAUCCCCAGUCCAGAUGUGGAAGGAGCAGGGGGCCAAGCCAAGCCGGGAUCUGCACGAAGCAGCAGCAGGGCCACCUGCAGGCAAGAGUGUGAGCUCCUGGGAGUCAGCUCAGCUGAUAAGACACAGAAAGCUGCCCCUCUGCAUGUCACGUGACCUGUGUGCCCACAGUUCUCCUUUACCACCACCCCCUCGGUGUACUCACAUCCUCAUCUGCACUGAGGUUGUCCAAGCUACCAAGACUCGAGGCAGCAAUUCUCACAGCACCAUCCAGUGUUAAAGUGGCCUGAAGGUCACUGUCACAGUUAAAAUGAGCCCUAAUAGUGUGUUAGAGACAAAUGGAUGCCCACCUGAUUGCCCAGUGUCCAGACACCUGGGCUUUUUCCUAACUGGAAGACUCGGAGCCCACCCACUGCCUACUUCCCAUGCCUAGGAUUCUCCCUGGGUUCCAUUCUGGUAACAUGCCAACACAUCAACUGUGUCAGAUUGAAUCUCACCACCUAAAGGCCUUCCUGAAACCAUCAGUGAGCCACCUGCUUCCCUGGCUACCACUUGGCCUCUAAACCCAACUAACCAACCCAGCAGAAAUCAUCUUAAACUCCACCCAGAACCUUCCACCGUAUCUGCCACCUCACCUCGAGUCAGUCCAUCUCCUAAAUAUCCAAGUGACCUCACUUCUAGCCUCUGCUACUAAUGCCAAUCUCUUAGCUCUAGCCUCAGCCACUUCUCAGCCAACCUAGUGGCUGGUCAUCCUCACCUGCUGUCCUCUGCGCUCCACUGGCCGCCUUUCAGGCCAUCAGACAUCCUGGAAUCCACUAUCAGCCUCAGGAGUACCUUGGUACAUCAGACCUUGGUAACCCUUCUUGCCCAAACUGUCAACCAAAACCUGCCCUGCACUUUUGCACCUGACUUACGGUUAGCCAGCUGAGUCCUGCUGGCCGGCUCCACUUCCAACCCCCUUUCAGAAUGUCACCUCACCAGACGGUGCAUCAGGCAGAGCUCAUGACAGGCUCCUCAUGGCCUCCCGGCAUCUUCCUAACAGCGCUCGCCCUGCCCUGGAGCCGUCAGUCCUGCCGGUGGGACUCUGCGUGUGUUCACUUUUACACUCACCCAGAAGUGGCCCUAGUGUUUGGUAAAUGGCAGUUAAGAAUGGAAAAGCCUGUCGGGCACGGUGGCUCAUGCCUGGAAUCCCAACACUUUAGGAGGCCAAGGCGGGUGGAUCACGAGGUCAAGAGAUGGAGAUCAGCCAGGUGCA
ensembl:lncRNA